AAGGCAAUACUUUCAGGGAUCACGUCUGUAGUGCUUUGUCAUAGCCCUUUUCUAAAGUGUUUGGUCUCACUGUCCACGAGGAAGAGUGGCUAGUGUGGUUUUCUGCAUACCUUUGCCAGGUUCUAGCCUUAUUGUUUUUUGUCAACUGAUCGCUGUUAUUGAUGACGGCACUUAGGGGGCUGGAGGAAGCAGGCGUGUUCUGAGUGAA